rnacentral:rRNA from 1 species
GCUUAACACAUGCAAGUCGAACGAUGAAGCCGCUUCGGUGGUGGAUUAGUGGCGAACGGGUGAGUAACACGUGGGCAACCUGCCCUCAGCUUUGGGAUAACUCCGGGAAACCGGGGCUAAUACCGGAUACGACCAUUCCCCGCAUGGGGUGGUGGUGGAAAGUUUUUCGGCUGGGGAUGGGCCCGCGGCCUAUCAGCUUGUUGGUGGGGUGAUGGCCUACCAAGGCGUCGACGGGUAGCCGGCCUGAGAGGGCGACCGGCCACACUGGGACUGAGACACGGCCCAGACUCCUACGGGAGGCAGCAGUGGGGAAUAUUACGCAAUGGGCGAAAGCCUGACGCAGCGACGCCGCGUGAGGGAUGACGGCCUUCGGGUUGUAAACCUCUUUCAGCUCCGACGAAUUCAGACGGUAGGAGCAGAAGAAGCACCGGCCAACUACGUG